rnacentral:rRNA from 1 species
AUACGUAGGGUGCGAGCGUUGUCCGGAAUUACUGGGCGUAAAGAGCUCGUAGGUGGUUUGUCGCGUCGUCCGUGAAAUUCCGGGGCUUAACUCCGGGCGUGCAGGCGAUACGGGCAUAACUUGAGUACUGUAGGGGAGACUGGAAUUCCUGGUGUAGCGGUGAAAUGCGCAGAUAUCAGGAGGAACACCGGUGGCGAAGGCGGGUCUCUGGGCAGUAACUGACGCUGAGGAGCGAAAGCAUGGGUAGCGAACAGGAUUAGAUACCCUGGUAGUCCAUGCCGUAAACGGUGGGCGCUAGGUGUAGGGGUCUUCCACGACUUCUGUGCCGUAGCUAACGCAUUAAGCGCCCCGCCUGGGGAGUACGGCCGCAAGGCUAAAACUCAAAUGAAUUGGCGGGG